AUACGGAGGGGGCUAGCGUUGUUCGGAAUUACUGGGCGUAAAGCGUCCGCAGGCGGAUAAUUAAGUUAGAGGUGAAAUCCCAGGGCUCAACCCUGGAACUGCCUUUAAAACUGGUUAUCUAGAGUUAUGGAGAGGUAAGUGGAAUUCCUAGUGUAGAGGUGAAAUUCGUAGAUAUUAGGAGGAACACCAGAGGCGAAGGCGGCUUACUGGACAUAUACUGACGCUGAGGGACGAAAGUGAGGGGAGCGAACGGGAUUAGAAACCCGAGUAGUCC
rnacentral:rRNA from 1 species